ACGACAGUGGCGGAAGGCCGGGCACAGCGACUGCCGUUCGCGGACCACGCGUUCGAUGCCUGCGUGUCGCAC
rnacentral:tRNA from 1 species